rnacentral:ncRNA from 1 species
GGUGCGGCGAGGGCUCGCCGCUGAAAAGGGAAGCCGGUGAAAAUCCGGCGCAGUCUUACCUCUACUGUAAGCGCGGACAAAGGCGUCAGACCCAUUGGCUCUGCCGAGAAGGGACGCCGGCGGAAGAAGCGCAAGCCAGGAGACCUGCCUUUUG